rnacentral:tRNA from 1 species
GUCAAGUUAGUUUAUCUCUAAAACAUCAGCUUGUGGAUUUGAAGAAAAGAAUUUUUAUCUUACUUGACC